rnacentral:rRNA from 1 species
UACGUAGGGUGCGAGCGUUAAUCGGAAUUACUGGGCGUAAAGGGUGCGCAGGCGGUUCUGUAAGUCAGGUGUGAAAGCCCCGGGCUUAACCUGGGAAUGGCGCUUGAAACUACAGGACUGGAGUAUGGCAGAGGGAGGUGGAAUUCCACGUGUAGCGGUGAAAUGCGUAGAGAUGUGGAGGAACACCGAUGGCGAAGGCAGCCCCCUGGGCUGACACUGACGCUCAGGCACGAAAGCGUGGGGAGCAAACAGG